ensembl:snRNA U6 U6 spliceosomal RNA
GUGCUCGCUUCAGCAGCACAUAUACUAAAAUUGGAACGAUACAGAGAAGAUUAGCUUGGCCCCUGCGCAAGGAUGACAUGCAAAUUUGUGAAGCGUUCCAUAUUUUU